rnacentral:rRNA from 1 species
ACGAACGCUGGCGGCGUGCUUAACCCCUGCAAGUCGUACGGUAAGGCCCUUUCGGGGGUCCACGAGUGGCGAACGGGUGAGUAACACGUGAGUAACCUGCCCACAACUUUGGGAUAACGCUAGGAAACUGGUGCUAAUACUGGAUAUGUGCUCCUGCUGCAUGGUGGGGGUUGGAAAGCUCCGGCGGUUGUGGAUGGACUCGCGGCCUAUCAGCUUGUUGGUGGGGUAGUGGCCUACCAAGGCGGCGACGGGUAGCCGGCCUGAGAGGGUGACCGGCCACAUUGGGACUGAGAUACGGCCCAGACUCCUACGGGAGGCAGCAGUGGGGAAUAUUGCACAAUGGGCGCAAGCCUGAUGCAGCAACGCCGCGGGCGGGAUGACGGCCUUCGGGUUGUAAACCGCUUUCAGCAGGGACGAAGCUUUUUGUGACGGUACCUGCAGAAGAAGCACCGGCUAACUACGUG